CCUUCAAAGAUGGCUGGAAUUACCAUACUUUGCGUACUGAAAGGCACCAAUCACCACAUCAGUUAUGGUGUGAAAAUCAGAAGGAAGGCCAGGAUUCCCUCCAGGUUGAUUUGGAGCACGGAAUCGACUGGGAGGGUCCAAGUGGUCACCAUGAGGAGGGUGUUGCAGUCCCUGAAGUUAACCUUCCAAGGCAACUGACUGACCUUGAAUUACAAAGACUACCAAAUCCCCAUGGUUCUUUCUCCAGUGUAAUAAAUACAUACAGUGAAACAGUUGACAUAUUGUCCAAUAUAAUGAAUGAUUAAAUGCCAGAAAUGUGCAGUGGGUAAACAACCCAAUGAUUAAAUGAAAUGAACAGAAAGACAAAACAUUGAAAACAUUUGAAUUUUAUUUUGUUUAUAACUGUAUAAUAAUUUUUAUUGAAACGAAUAGAUAACAACUUUGAAUCUGAAACUGCUAUCAGCCAUCAGAACUACUGGCUCAAGAUGAAAUAUCUGUAAACUCUCAAAACUGUUACAAUUUUAUUUUGUUUACUUUCAUGUAAACUUGUAACAAAUAAACACCAAAACAUGUUA